rnacentral:lncRNA from 1 species
CGGGCUGUUAUCGUACGGAAGGAUCGGACAAGUGCUUGGUGUCAAGUGAAGACUUAGACACACACAAUGAUCCUAAUUACAUAUGAAGACAUAUGUAUAUAAAUAAUUAGAGAUUUAAUCACUAACUAUACAAGUAUAAACAUUUAAGCGCGAGGACAACACUUUUGGUCAAGUGCUAGGAGGCUAAUGGGUUGCAACAAAGGAGUGCAAUGCCCCUAAUGGAAGUUUAAGGUCAAAAGACCAUAUUCAUUAGAGUUUACGGCCCAGGGGAGUAAGCUCCUGGCCGUAAACUCUCAAACAAGUCAUGAAAUGGAGUUUAGAAGUACUACAACCUUAGAGGGGAAUUGUUUCAAGGCUAUACAAGUGUUUGGGCACCACAUUGACUCCUUUGGGGAGUUUACGGCCCAAAGACCCUUUUCCCUUGGAGUUUACGGCCGUAAACUCCCUUGGGAGGGUUCUUAUUGUCCUUUCAAGUCUCUAACAUUUCUAGGAACAAGUCUAGGCUUCAAUACUUGGAUCAAGGGAGGUUUAUGGCAUUAAAUGGAACCAUUUGAUGGAGUUUACGGCCAUAGAACUCUUUGGGCCGUAAACUCCCUCACACAUGAGGUUCUAAGAAUUUUAACUAGCCCAAAACUCAUCUAGGUACUUGCCCUAAAAGUCUCUUGGCCUAAGGAAGUGUCUAGGGUGUCCUUUGACCCCUUUAAAGGAGUUUACGGCCCAAGAAAUACUCUUGGCCGUAAACUCUUCAACACUUGAGCUUUUCAUGAUUUUUCUAGGUCCUAAACACAUUAAGGUACUAGCCAAAAAUGAAGACUAAGCCUUAGGAAGAGUUUGAAGUGGUUUUGGCACUUAAUCUUGGAGUUUACGGCCUAAGGAGCAUCUUGGCCGUAAACUCCCUUCCAAAGUUGGUUUCUAAUUGUUUUGUGGGUCUAAAUCAUGAGUUUAAGGCUUCUAGGUUCUUGUUCUAAGGCUAAAGGAACACUAGGCACUCAUUUGUGCCCUUUACUUGGAGUUUACGGCCCAAGAGGUUGUUCCUUGGCCGUAAACUCCUCAAACUACUUGCUUUUGAUUUGUUUCUAGCCUCUAAUGAUCAUACACUAAGUCCUUAGUUAGAUGCCUAACACGGAAAUGGGACUAGGUGGCCUUUAGGCUUGAUUUUGGAGUUUACUCCCCAAGAACGUUCUUGGGCGGUAAACUCCCGGAUCUUGUGUUUUGGACAUGUAAACAAUGUUAUAAAGCAUAUAACAAGUAUUAAAACACAUUUAGGGAAGUAGACUCACAAUCUGGGAUGAAAACCCGAAGAUCCGUGAGAGAGUAUUUGGCUUUUCUCUAAAUGGAAAUCAAAUAAUGAACCAAUUUGGUUCAGAAUUCUAUUUAUAGUCCAGAGAUUUUUGGCAGAAAAUAUUUCUAUUCUCGGAAUGGAUUCUAAUGACCUAGAGUAAUGGAAUUACAGUGUUGCACAAAAUCCUAGUGCACCCACUCUCCUAAUAACUCCUUAGGUGUAAAACCCUAAAACUGCCAAACUUAUUCCAAAAGUUUGAAUUUUCACUGAAACUGCUCUACUUCCAUUGGAUUGAUGUGGUUUGAUUUGAAUGGAAAAUUUCGGGUUGUCACAGUUAAGGGGUAUGAACUCACCUGCAGUAUGUGACUGGAAUUGAACGGGCUGUUAUCGUACGGAAGGAUCAGACAAGUGCUUGGUGUCAAGUGAAGACUUAGACACACACAAUGAUCCUAAUUACAUAUGAAACAUAUGUAUAUAAAUAAUUAGUGAUUAUAACACUAAUUAUACAAGUAAUAACAUUUAAGCGCGAGGACAACACUUUUGGUCAAGUGCUAGGAGGCUAAUGGGUUGCAACAAAGAAGUGCAAUGCCCCUAAUGAAAGUUUAAGGUCAAAAGACCAUAUUCAUUAGAGUUUACGGCCCAGGGGAGUAAGCUCCUGGCCGUAAACUCUCAAACAAGUCAUGAAAUGGAGUUUAGAAGUACUACAACCUUAGAGGGGAAUUGUUUCAAGGCUAUACAAGUGUUUGGGCACCACACUGACUCCUUUGGGGAGUUUACGGCCCAAAGACCCUUCUCCCUUGGAGUUUACGGCCGUAAACUCCCUUGGGAGGGUUCUUAUUGGCCUUUCAAGUCUCUAACAUUUCUAGGAACAAGUCUAGGCUUCAAUACUUGGAUCAAGGGAGGUUUAUGGCAUUAAAUGGAACCAUUUGAUGGAGUUUACGGCCAUAGAACUCUUUGGGCCGUAAACUC